rnacentral:lncRNA from 1 species
CGGCCGCUACGUCAGCGCCCCGGGUGGCGCCGCCUCCGCCCGCCGGCCUGGGCCCCGCUCCCGCCGCCGGGAAGGCGGGCCGCGGUAGAAGGUGGGGGCUGCCUUGCUUCCUCGUACGAUCCGGUGAACUUUCCCGAUGCUCCGGCAAAAGUCAGGGGACCCGAGAGUGAACUGUUUGUUGUAGGACACAGCUUACCUGGGAUUGGUGCCGCCCAGGACCCCUUAUUACAACCCAUAGACCCACAGACCUUAGGAGCGGAGGACAGUCCAGCUUAGAUGUUUAUUGAGCACCUACUCUAUGCUGACAGCUGUACACCAGCACUCGGCUUUCCUGUUCAUCCUGGAGUAGAAAGAACCAGGGAUGGACUUAGAUCUGAGUCAGCGAUGGGAGAAAGAAUGAGAAGGCUGAAUGAACAGAUGAGUCAUCCUCUGAGAACAUGACCCAGGAGAGGGGACAAGGUGCUCCUGCUAGCAACAAGAGGGGGCUCAGCUCCAGCUCAGCAGCCACACCUGUUCCCACACCACCACUCACAUGCCCAUUGGCUAGCCUGUGGCCCUAUAAGGGGCAAUGGCUCACAGGUAUGUGGUCUCCACAUCAGCUUCGUAUCCAGGCACUCCAGUGACACCAUGACUUUGGUACUGCACAGCAGCCCCCAGCUUCUUGGCACAGACAAGUCUGCCUCCACGGAGGUCUGUACAUCAGCUGUGUUCCUGGUGCCUGUGGAGGCCAGAAGAGAAUGUCAGAUCUUCUAAGGCUGGGGAUGCAGACUCUUGUGAGCUGCCAUGUGAGUGUGGGACUUGAACAGCAGCCAAAUACUUUUAACCCCUGAGCCAUCACUUCAGCAUCUCCCCCACACCUUCUUUAAAACAGUCUCUUGUAACCAUAACUGAAAACUAUCUUGAAGCCUGAAUACUCCCUGAUGUUUCACAGCCCCAGAGAACUCUGCCUUCUGCAGCA